rnacentral:misc_RNA from 1 species
UCUCCGUUGGUGAACCAGCGGAGGGAUCAUUACUGGAAUCGCAAGAUCCCACAACCCUGUGAACCUACCGAAACGCUGCCUCGGCGGGUGCCCGGCCUCUGCGCCGGGCGCUGCGCCCGCCGGCGGCCCCCUACUCUGUCUCUGCAGCGUGGCAUCUCAGAGUCCCAGAAAACAAGUCAAAACUUUCAACAACGGAUCUCUUGGCUCUA